rnacentral:misc_RNA from 1 species
GGAAUUUGCACACUUAUAAUUCUCUCAACAUCUUACCAGUUCGUCAUUUAGAAGGUUCACAUGACAAUCCAGCCACUAUGGUUGAGAAGAACAUUAGCUGUGCACAGCAUAAGAGAUAAGACGCUAGACAUAGCUGCAGUUCAACGGCCACCAUUGGGAAGUUUUGCACAAUCAAUGCACGUGAAUGUGGAAGUGACUGGUUAACCAAUAUAUGCACUUUCUCAGCAGAAAAUAUAUAUUAAUCUUAGUCAUCAGUCAUUGAAGUUAGAGUUUCAUCAUCCAUGUACUUCUCUUGCACUGCUGCAACUCUGUAAUAGUCCCAAUCCGUAGCACCAACUGCAAUCUUGCUGAAUUCAACUGCACUUGCUUCCAUACCAGCAAAAAU